UGAUUAAAUGAAAAAAAGACCAACAAAUUAAUUUUAUAAAAUAAGAUUACCUCUUUGGCAGUUUUAAUAACGAUAGAACUUUGUUUGACAUGCUUAUUUAUUUUAAAAUUUCAGGACUCUAACAUUACGAGUAAUUUCAUUUCCAAUCAAAGAUUUCAUAGAACGUAGGUUGAGAAGGUUAUAUCACACUAAUUUAAAUAAAUAAGCGGAAUAAUCACGUUUUACUUUAUGUCUACGAGACAAAAUAUAAUUUCAUUUCUGCGGAAUCUUGAAAACUAAGUAGGGAAGUACUGAUUCUUUUAGAUUUUAAUUUGAUUGAAUAUGAUAAAUAUUAUACAAUCAUCUUUUUUAAUGAAGUUGAAGAGUAAUUAAUCUGGCAACAACCAUUUAAUAUAAAAAUUACUAGAUUUAUAUCUUAUUUGAUCAGCAUGUCCAUAGAGGUACUACAGGAUUACAGAGAUUUCAUAUUCAAUCUUACAAAAUUAUAUAAAAGAGAGGCCUCAGAGUAAAAACAUUAGCUACCCUGAAAAGCUUCAACUAGAUAACAUACAAAGUGAAAUUUCUUAUUUUUAUUCUCAUAUCAAGUUUAUCAUUUGUUUGGAUUACCGAUGCAGGUAUAGGCUGUUUUCAAAACAAAGAUUGUCAUAAAGGUGAAUGCUGCAGAAUUGCAUUUGGAUUUUACGCAGGCCCUCAAAUCAAGAGUUGCAGGGAACUUGCAGCAGCAGCAGGUGACAUUUGUGCAACUGAUGAAUUCACAGAGGACAAUAUCUCUAGCAAUAGAUAUUGUCCCUGCCGUGAGGGAUUAAAAUGUGAACCCACUUCCACUCCUUCUUUCCGCGAUAGGACAGGAAUUUGCCAGCCAUCAGAGGAAAAGUAAUACCUGCCUCAGUGAAUUUAAAAUAAGAGGUAUAAAGCAAGCGUUUGUAAUCACACAAAAAUAAUGCAUUUUAUAACAUUUUAUUGUAGAAGAUUGUAACAUCAAUCUGACAAAACGAUUGGAAUUGCUUGCCAAAUUAUCGACCAAAAAAUAUUCUUGAUCAAUUAAUAAAGAUGAUUGAUAUUUGAUAAGCUGA